rnacentral:tRNA from 1 species
UCUUUGUUAGUAUAUCGGUUAGUACACGCGCUUGUCAUGGUGUACCAUACGCGCGAAAGCUGGGUUCGACUCCCAGACAGAGAG